UCACCGAUAUUGAUCGCCAGGGUUGAUUCGGCUGAUCUGGCUGGCUAGG
rnacentral:snRNA from 1 species